UAAUACGAAGGGCCCGAGCGUUAUUCGGAAUCACUGGGCUUAAAGCGUGCGUAGGCGGAUGUGAAGGCGUCCUGUGAAAUCCCUCGGCUCAACCGAGGAACUGCAGGGCGAACCAUGCAUCUUGAGACAGACAGAGGUCGUCGGAACGAUAGGUGGAGUGGUGAAAUGCGUUGAUAUCUAUCGGAACGCCGAAGGAGAAGUCAGGCGACUGGGUCUGUUCUGACGCUGAGGUACGAAAGCGUGGGUAGCGAACGGGAUUAGAUACCCUGGUAGUCCACGCCGUAAACGAUGAGUACUUGAUGUCGGGGGAUUCGACCCCUUCGGUGUCGUAGCUAACGCGAUAAGUACUCCGCCUGGGGACUACGACCGCAAGGUUG
rnacentral:rRNA from 1 species